GUGGAGGUUCUAGGAAACUAGAACCAUUUGCAAUGAAAUGGUUGCAGGCCAGGAUAUUUGUCUUCUAUUCUCUGUUAUCUCCCUUCUGCUUUUGUAUGGUUACUUAUCCAUGUUCUCUAUCCUCUUUUCCUUCUUUUCAUUUCUUUCUUCAUCUAGUCAGAAUAGUUCUUGGUAAAGCAUUCUGGUGGAAAGUUAAGAGGAAAUUACGUUAAUGGGGGCUAGAAAUAGAGGAAGUACUUUCUCACACAGUGGAGAGAGAGAUCAGAUACCCUGGCUGCAGGCUUCAAAGGAAUGGCAGGUUGUUGUAUGACAGAGCAAAUCAAUCAGGAUGCAUCCAAAAUGUACAAAUUAUGUGCAAAGAAGGAGCGGAAUGGCUUGAACUCUAACAAAUGAGUUCAGACAAUAAAUCUUUUUUGUCACCAUUAUUAAAAUAACUCUCACAAGAGAUUUGUUAUGUAUAUGAAGAUUUUUUAAACAUUAUCAGAAAUAUUAUGGACUACAGCCUACCUUGCUAUGCCUCAAUAUCAUUCUCUAUACCAUGGGAAUAAUAUUUUAUUACUUCUUUAUGGGUUGUUGUAAAAGAUUAAUACAUGCAAGGCACUUUGAACAGUGCCAGCCACACAGAAACUACUCAAUAAAUGUCAGUGAUUCCUCCUUUUAUUAUUUUUGUCAUUACUAUUAUAGGAGAGGAUAAGGUACAUAUAAACUGAUGAGGGUGGUAAUGGAGGGCAUCCCAAAGGAAUGAUGUUCAACUGGGGAUGGAAGUAAAAAGAGCAUGGAAAUUACUCUAAUUAGAAAAAAUUAGCAUGUGCAAAGGCACUAAGGUCAGAGGUCCUACUACAGUAGCAUCUCCCUCCAGGAGAAGGAGGAAAGGGAGGACAAUUUUGAGGAAGAAGUGAACAACAGGAUUAAAUGCCAGAGAGUUCGAGGACAGUGAGGGCAGGAAAUAACUUUGGAUUUAUUGAUUAGGAAGCCACAGUGUUAUGGGCUGAAUUGUGUCUCCUCAAACUUCAUACGUUGAAAGCCUAACAGUACACCUCAGAAUGUGACUGAAUUUGAAGAUAGGACCUUGAAAGGGGUGAUUAAGUUAAAAUGAGUCCAUUAGGGUGGGCACUAAUCCAACCUGACUCGUGUGCUUAUUGGAAGAGGAAAUUUAGACUCACCAAAAGAGAGGGAUGUGACACACACAAAAAAAGACCAAAGCCCAUGUGAGGGCACGAUGAGGAAACAGCUAUCUGCAAACCAAAUAGAAAGAUAUCUCUGAAGAAAUAAACCUGCUGACACAUUGCUCUUGGAAGUCUAGCCUCUAGAACUGUGAGAAAAUGAAUUUCUGUUGUUUAAUCCCCUGGUCUCUGAUAUUUUGUUAUGGCAGUCCUAUAAAACUAAUCCAUACUGUUACAUUCAAAGAGAGUAGGUAAUGCAAUAGUUAUAUAUAGUCAUAAUAGUCAUAAUGCAAUAAGUUAAUGAUGAGUGGACGGCAAGGAAUUAGAAGCUAUUGGAAAAGUAAUGGAUUUUUAGGGGGUUGAAAAUAUACCAUGAUUUUUUCCCAGAGGAUUUGGUUACUGUGGGGAUAGUUGCUUCUAAGUGACUUUGAGAUUUAUACAGUUUUUGCUUUCUUUAAGAUUUAUUUUUAUAAUCAAAUAAUUUUAAAAUGCCGUGUAGAGAAAUUACCUUAUCGGUACUUGAGUGUCAUAGCUGAAUCUCUCUCAUGACCACAGGGUGAGCCAUGGUAUUUACUCUUAUAGUGAUGAUAUCAGCAAUUCCAAAGUUGGAAAUGUAGUUUCCCUAGAGUCAGGAAGAGUUCUAUUUUUGUGGCAAGGGGGUGGGGGAGGAUGAUCCUCGGGAAGAGACAUAAAAGUAUUGGGGGUAGUCUUUGUUUUCUUCUAAAAUAGUAUCUUUGUCUCGAGUUCCAACUCUUGAAUUGCAGAAAUAAGGCCACUCACACAUUCAAAAAAUAUUCAUCAAGCAGUAUUAAAUAUGCAAGGUCAAGAAUUCAGGAUUUACAAGAGUUAACGAUCUAACUUGAUUUCAUACCAUCCUCUAAAGUUAAGCCUGUUCUCACUGAUGCAAAGCUUCUUUGUGUCUCUGUGGUCUUGCCUGACGUUCUCGUCAUCCCCACUACGAUUUGGUUAUGUUUUAUUUAUACCUGGAAUAGCAUUCAAUCACUAGUCCAAAAUAUUCUCUAUGCUUCUCCAUUCUAUUCCUCUUUUAAGGUCUGCUCAAGUCCUUCCUCUCAUAAUGAAGUUUUAUCUAUAUACUCUAAUCAAAAGGAGUCUGUUUUUUAUUAUUUCCCAUAAUGCUUAUAUUCUAUCUAUCCUCCAGAAUAGGAUGAGAAUUAUUGGCCUUGGUCUUGGACAAACUUUGGCUUAAAUGUGAGAUCUUUAAUUUGACAGCCAUUCAACUUUGGGUGAAUUGGUUAAUUUUUCUGAAACUUCAUUUAUUUUCUUGCAAAAGUAAAUGAGUAAAAGGAUUGUGUUAAUAAUUAAAUUAGACUCUGUGUUUGAAGUACAAAGCAUAUAGUUGAUGACCAAGAGUCUGUGUUCUCUUGGUUAGAAGGAAAAGUAACUUACUCUAAGUAAAAAUGAGGUUAUCUUAAAGACAUGAGGAUGUCUCACAAUAAUCCAGGACAGACUAAACAACCGGGCUGCAGAGUCAGUGGGAAUUGAGGCAAUCUUAAGUGCCAGCCACUUCCCCAUCUUUGUCUUUCUGUCGCAUGGCAUCCUGUUUCCUCUCUGCAGUUACUCUGAUCUCUCACUCCCAGCCAGCUUCUCUGAGUCUCAAUUUCCUCAUAACAUGGCUCAGAAAUGGUCACUGCAGCCCAAACUCUAGAUGAACCUUCAGCUCAAGCAUCCAAAUUACAGCUCCAUUAAUUCCUGGCUAUAUGACCAGGGACAGGUUCCUUGAAUCUCACCUCCUGUAUUUUGCAAGGGAUGAUACCAUGUCUCUACUUACCUCAAAAGAUGAAUGCAAAAAGUGCCAUCAGUUAACAAACAUGAAGUCAUUCUGUAAUUGCAAGAUAACCCUCUGAUGGCUCUGAGGAAUGUUAACCUCUGGAGUAGCAGCUCUCAACAAAACAUGGUCCUGCUGAUGUUUCAUGCCUCUGUUGAAAAGGCAAGAACUGCAUUUUCCUUAGGAAAAAAACAAACAAACAAACGCUAUUCUUUUGAAGUUUGACAAAUUACAAGACAACAAGAUUUAGAGAGAAUUGAGAAGACAUAAGAUAGUCUUAUGUCUUCAUAAGGUAUCCCUGAACCCCAUUAUUAUGCAGACCCCCGAAUUGGGUGAACUGUCUCUUAGCCAGAAUUUGGAGAGAUCAAGGAGGCACUGAUUGAUCUUCCCCACCAUGGAAAAUUACCACUCUGGCAACUCUGCAAGUUAACAAGAUGACCCACGUCCUCGUUUUGCAGAUGAGGAACUGAGGCUAAGAGAAGUUAAGUGACUUGACAAAAAUCAUAGCAGAACUGAAACUUGUGUGUAUUUUCACGUUAUGGAAAUCAAUUUUUGUGCCUAGAAAAGAACUAUUCAAGAUUAUUUUGGUGCAAAAUUAGUAUUCAAUUAAUUUGAAACCCUUGUUUUUCUUAAGCUUGUAUGCUAGUUUAUAAAUUGAAUUAAGAAACUUAUCAAUUUAGCAAGUUUAAUAAUUACUUUGAAGGAAUACUUUACAACUUAAUUAAAUUCUUUGAAUAUCUAGCCACAUUUAUUAAUAUGCUAUAUUUUUAUUUCCUUUUAAGUACAUUGUGUGACUUAACAAUCUUUCCAAUAACUUAAUUAAUUCUUAUAAAUCUAAUAAAUUAGUUUUUAGAUAUGGUGAACUUCAGUUUCUCUUAAAUGUUUCAAAUGAAAUUUCAAUCUGAAAUGUUAAGUCUAAAGCAAUGAAUCAAUUACUCAUUUUAACUUGGAAUUGUAAGAUUGAUCUCUUAUUCUAAUAGGUCUAAUUUUCUUGAACAGUACAAAUAAUUAAACUUCAAAAUAAGCACAGAUUCCUAAAGACAAAUAUUUUAAUGCUUUUAUAUUUUGGUUUUCUUAUUCAUAAAACAAAAUUUUGCUAUCAUUAAAAGAUAAGGACACAAUGCUAUCGCCCCAUUAAUUUUGAUGUUACUUUCCUAAAGUAAUUUUAGGAGAUGCCUUCUCAAUUUUCUGGGGUUUCUUAAAUACCAGAAAUAUCAACAGGACAUGACUGGACCCUUAUCUGUUGGGACAAUGUAUCUGUUGGGACACAUUGAGAUCUAUUUACCUAAGUCAGUUCUCUCUGUGGUAGACAGCAUUCCAACAUGACCUUUAAGAUUUCUGCCCCCUAGUGUGCACAACCUAUAUAACCACCUCCCCUUGGGUGUGGGUAGAAUUUGUGAAUAUGAGGAGUUAUUACUCUUACAAUUGUUACAUUACAUGGCAAAAGGAAUUUCCCAGAUGUGACAAAUUUCCAGAUGGAAUGAAUUUAAGUUAAUCAAAGGGGGGGAAUUUCCCAGGCAGGUCUGAUUUAAUCAGGUGAGCCUUAAAAGAAGCCAGAAGCAGUGAGAGUACUCUCCUGCUGGCCUUGGAAAGGGACUUUCAAGUCUGAAAGGAGGUCAUAGCCCUGGAUGACACCUUGAUUUCAGUCUUGAUUUCAGUCUGAUAAAACUCUGAGCAGAAGAUCCAGCCAACCCACAUCCAGAGUCCCCCUUAGGAACUGCCAGAUAAUAAAUUUGUUUUACUUUAACUUGCUAAGUUUGUGGUGAUUUGUUAGAAAUCAAUUUAGAAAAUGAAUACAUUCUCCAACAGGGGUGGUCUUACCACUUGUGUGCUUCAAGUUCAAGUUAUACAUAUCUAAAUCGUUCGUCCACUAACAGAGACCUGAAUGCACCACCACCCCCAACUCCAGGCUGUUGUUCCUUGAUAGGAUUUUGCAUCGUUUGCCAGGUGAGAUAUUUAAAUGUCUUCCCAUGUAUAAGAGCUUUGUCAAAUAUCUAAGUUCCUGUAUAUAGGAACUUGAAGGAGCUCCUCUCUGUUUGUUAUAUUCUUCCUGUAUUUGGGUCAUAACUCAUCUAGACAGUAUAAUGACAUCCCAUUGAAUUCUUUAUAUCUUUCAUGAUUUUGCCUAACUAUUCCAAUGUCAGUUUCUGGAAAACACUAGAGUCCACAUCUGAUUCUAGAAUCAAUCUCCUUCUAUUCUUCCCUUUAAUAAGCAGGCAUAAGCUAAGUUUUGAUGAACAGUCUUGAGUGUUGAAAUGAUAUUGGGAUUCCUACUUUCCCUCGUCAUUCUGAGAGCAUUCCAAAAUCUCUCUGGCUAGUGUUCGUGGGUUCUCUCUGCUUUCUCUAAAACACUAGUAAUUAUAUUCUGACAUCAUCACUUACUUAGUCCCUCAAAAAUGUAUAAUGAGCCUUCUCUCCAAUGAUCCUGAAGUCCACUUGUGCAUUUAUUCAUUAAGCUUUUCUCUUAACAGUACAAUGAUAGUUGACCAUAAUACAUAAUACUCUGAGACAUACAAAGAAUAAAAGAUAACAAUUCUUAUUCCAUAAGAUUUUAUGGUCUAUUUGGAAACAAGAUAUGGAUACAAAAAAAUCAAUAAUUUUGCAUACAAAAUCAUAAAGUUUAAGUGAUACAUGUUAAGUGACAUGACUGGUAAAAAUACUAAGUGGAGGUACAGAUUAGAGUAAGUUAAAAAACGCAGAGCAAGUAGAAUUUAAGUUCAUUUAUUCAUUCAACAAGCAUAUAUUUAGAGUCUCUGAUGUAUCAGGUGCUAUGUUAGGCACUGAGGGGCCAAGAAUAAGGCACAGUCACCCUCUCCAUCAAGCUAACAUCAUAGCUGAGAAAACAAAAGCAUAAGAAAAGUAUGAGGACACACACUAUGACAAACACUGUUAUGAUGGUGUAUACAAUAUGUAAUGCAAAGGAAGUGGAGAGAAGGAUUAGGCUGACGAUAAAGAUGGGUGGAAGUCAGUGGUGAGGGAACCUUUCAAGAGGUGACAUUUUCGUUGAGCCUUCUGGCAGAAAUAACACUUGUCUUUUUGUUUAACCAUUUCAGCCAAGCCAAGAACUACCCCAAGCACUGUAUACUAAUGAACCUCAUAUAAUCCUCCCAAUGACUUCAUUUGAUCAAGGAUAUAAUGGCAGUGUGGAGUAAUUCCCAAAGAUGACACAGAGGUCAUUCGGUCACAUCUCCUCCAGCACGGCUCCAAUCUCCAAUCAAAGCUAUUCUCGUCUCUCUCAGAUUUUUGAAGACUCCAGUCUCUCUGCUACUGCCAUUGCCUUACACCUGGUCUCUUUGUGAUCUUUCAAAAACACAAAUCAGAUAAUGUCAGUGCUCUGAACAAACUUUCCAACAGCUUCCCAUCUCACUUGCAUUAAAACCUAAGGUUCUUAGCACAGCUUUCAAGAUCCUGCGUGAUUUUGCCCUCACUCCUGUGACAUCAUUACCUACCACUCUCCCGAAUCCAUCAUUCUACAGCCACCCAUCUCCCUCUUUGCUGCUCCUUGAAUGCACCAAGAAUGCUCCUUGCUGAUCCCCCUGUCUGGAACACUAUCCCCCAGAUAUUGGCAUGCCUCACUUCCAGACCUCAAUUCAGGUCUCUGAACAAAUGUCAUCUUCUCAGAAAAGCCUUCCUGACCAGCUGUGGAAAACACAAAGCACUCACCUCUCUGCUCCCACUUCACUCUGAAUCCUUACCCUGCUUUAUUUUUCACUGUGACACUAAUCAGAUAUUUUCUGUCUUCAUCAAUGAGAAUAACGUCCUUGAACUUUAUACUCCUCUUUACUUUAUCCCCAACACGCAACACAAAGCUGGCACUAGAGGCUCAGUAAGUGGUGUUGAAUCUGUGUAUUCAUUAAUAAAUGAAGUGAUUUGUCAA